CCCUCUCCAACAGCUCCCUGUCACGACAAACUGUUCGCACCCCUUUUUUUUCCUCUCUCUUCUUCCCAGGGCCUGAGCCCCCGUCACAGACUGACAUCUAAGGAUAACCCAGAGCGGAGUAUUUGCAAGCUGGCCAGCAGGGAAGAAGGUCGCAAGAGUCUCUGCGGCAGACGGGCUGCGCAUCACCGCUGCGCCAUGUGCCAGUUUACCAUAGGCUGCGUGCUGAUCCCCCGACACGCAGCCGGGUAGAAACAAAGGCCCGGUUCUCCUGGGGAUCACUGUUAGAUGAAAUGCCUCUGGGGCUGCGGAUCGAUCUGUGCCUGCGUUUCUGCAGGAUGGUUAGGUUGGCUGGGUUGGUUAGGUUGUAAGAAAUGUACCAGCGUUGUCCUGCCAACAGGAAGUGAGCCGUGAAUCUUGGUGUUUGAAGAUAAUCUGCACCCUGGUAUUACUGUGUCUCAUCUCACCGGGGUUUAAGGCUUUUAGUAAAUGUAAAAAGAUGGGAGUGUUCGUUCUGGAAAUAGAAAUGUUGUGUUUUCCUGAGCAGAGCGUCUCCGAAGCCCAAGUUUGGCACUUCCGAAAAGGAAAUUCUUCGGAGCGUGAGUCAGUGCGAGCAAAGGGCCAGCAGCGGGCCGAUGGAAACAGCGGGAUGGAGCCGGGUCCAGUGAGCACUGCAUCGAGAGGUAACGCAAAAGGAGUAAUUCAUCUGUGCUGUUCACGGAGUUGUGAAAUAAACGUGCUAAAAUGAGCUUAUCUGGAUCCUACGUUCAAUAGUGCCAUGCCUAGCAAAGUUGAAGCUCGAGGGCAGAUUUUAUUCGCGAUUGCAGUGGCGGCGUCUCGCAAGCAGCAGGGCGCCGAGAAAGCAGCGUUACACCUUUUAUCCCCUACUGCCCGGCGCUGAUCUCCUGCCCUGGUUCCUCACUGGCUGCGCACUGCAGGCUCACACUCUGCCGCGACGCUUCACUAGUCAUACAAAUACCAGCCCGAUGAUGAUUUGCAUGGAGCUCCUCCCUGCUGCGUCCAGCUUCCUGACAGACUGGGAGGUGAGCCGAGGGAGCUGCCUCCCGUCCCUUAGAUGUGGUCACAGAAGAAAGCCGUCGUCCAGCCUUUGCGACGCGGUGAGGUGUCGUGGGGUCAGUAGUGGUUACACCAGUCCACGGGUUCCAUUCGGCACGUGGCUGUCGGAACGUCUGAGCUUUGAUGAGAGACGUGUGGGUGCUGGGGUUGCCGCCCCUGUACUUCAUAGCGGGUGCUACCCUGCACACCCUGCUCUCUGGAAGUGCUGUAUCAAUACCUGAACUGGACGAACCAGCUUUUAUCCUGAACCUUUCGGAGAUGCUCAAACGGAAAAUUCUAUUUGCAUUUAACCUUGGAGCAACGCGGGGAGUUGCAGUGUGGUACGGUGAUACCUCUGCCCAAAUCGAGAGUUCAGGUCAGGUCAGAGCCGGCCGCUGGACGGAGAAUCUGGGUGAUGUGUUUGCUCCCGGCAAAACAUCAAAUGGUCUUUGAAAACAGCACCUGGCGAGGCCACGUGUGGUCAGAUCGGACUGGACACGCUUUUGAAGAAUUCAACUCACAAGUGCUGAAAAUGGCCCUGCAGAGCCGGUCAGCGCUUGAUGCGCUGCUACUGGGGGCUCAGCAGAGUGUGUGUGGCUGUUGGAGCCAACCAAGGAAACGCAUCACUGCUCGUAAUGCCUCCAGAGGAGAAGCUUUAGGCAACAGAGACCACAGAGCAAACAUCCGAACUGUUCACUCCGUGCUGAUAUAGGCUGGUUUGCUUAGCAGCGGGGAUUAGGACGUUAGCUUGAGGACCUGUGUAUUAGUUUAGCAAAAGGAAUCCACGAGUGAUAGUUCUGAAACCUUUCCAGUUCAGCUUGAGUGGGCGAAUGGUCUUCGUUCUCCUCGAUAAUUUUGUGCUGGGGACAUAAUGGAAUGCUUUUAUCUUUUGCCUCAAAAGGUGCAGGGACGUUUCCCUUGGGCUCCACAUGCACUGUUGUUAAGAAGUGUCUCACUGUGUCCUAAAAAGCAAUGGGAAUCUUCCAAACGGGGAAAGCGGAUGGCAGUGGGUCAGAGGUCUCAGUGGUAAAGCUGAGGGUGGAAAAUGGGGAAGAACGGGUGGGCACUCGACCACCCGAGGAAGCACCGGGCAUCCAAAGGACAUCAGCACAGCUCUGAGUCCUUGAAAAAGAAUGGGCUCGUGUGCCCACGAACCGCAUGUGCAUGUCAGAGCUGUUCCAGUGCAGCUCCUGCACUCCAAGAGGGGUCCUGGCACCUGGUGCGUGCUGUGAGGAAUAAAGGAAUGGCAUUUCGGCACCGCAGUGCAGUUAGUUUUCUUCCCGGAUUUCGGACGACACUGCAACCGACAGACUGACCUGACGGGCUCUGGGUCCUGGUUCACCAUCCUUUAACAGAACUGGGACUCACAGGGUGGGGAAAACGACUGGCACGGAUCAGAACUGCGAUACCGGACCUCUAUUUCUUAGCUGGUACAGCUAUUGUUAAGUGUAUGAUUACUCCGCUGCUUCCUUUUGUCUUCUCACUCCCUGCCUUCUGUUUGUUAUAUCAUAUUUAUGUCACCCCUCUCGAAGAUGAGCAUUUUGCUGCUCACUGAUUUGAGACACCGGGUGCCGUCUGAAACCAGUGGGGAGCGUCUCAAAUCAACAUGAGGCCAUCAACACUGCUUUGCGGGCACUUUUGCACUCGAAAGCAUUUCUUUGGAGUUGUUUGCCUUGCAAUGGAGGGCGCAGCAGUGUUUGUUGGCUGAAGACUCGGCCUGGGAGCCAACGACAGCGGCUUGAUACAGGAGACUGGGAGCUGUUAGCAUUGCAUCCUCUGAAGGCAAGGUGCAAGCUGGCAUCUCCCUGCUCCCUCUUGUCUGCUGACUGAGAUUUGCAAGGCCGGGAAGACGGAGAAGUUCCUGCUGAGAUCCCAAAGCUGGAAACUCAGCUGCUUUGGACUACGAGCAAGAAUUUGUACCGUUGCUUUCAGCCGUCAGCUGAUGGGGGUCCUGUCAGGGACUGUGGGGUCUGUGAGAUCCCAGGUGGGCCUGGAUGGGGCUGGGGAGGUGCUAGGAAGGAAAUAUGGGGGUUCAGUGGGAGUGCUGGGGGGAUACGGGGUGCUGCUGGGGACUACGGGGAACCUGUGAGAUCCCAGGCUGGCUGUGUGGGAGGGCUGCUGUGUUUGAGAAGGUCCUUGAGGGGCUCUGUGGGGGCUGUGGGGAAUACAGGCACGUGGGGGGAUAUGGGGACACGGCCUGCAGGAGCAGAAUGCUGCUCAGGAGAACGCCUGAUGUGGGCUUCAGGCGGGACAUGGGGCACACGGACAUGGGGUGGUAUGGGGACGUAGGGGGAUGGGGGAUGUGAGGAGUGGUUUGAGGCAAAAAGGGGGGUGUGGGGCAGUGUUGGAGUGGUUUUCUCUCUUCCUGAGAGGGGACUGGGGUCCCUGAGGCCCGAAGGUGGGGCCACGAGCCAUGACCCCACAUGAGCCAUAGCCCAAGGUGACCACAUAACCCUGUGUGUGCGUGACCCCAUGGCUGCACGUGACCCACAGCCCUGUGUGAACCACAGCCCCACACGACCCUGUGACUCCCUGACCUGCCUGCCCCCACCACGCUGAGAUCAGAUGCCGUGUGGCCCCAGAACUCUGGGAUCCCUGCCCCCACCUCACCCCGGACCACAUAACCCCACAUGACCCCUACCUGAUGUCAGCCCAUCUGUCCCUACCAUCCCGUCUGACCCCGUAACUGUGACCCAGAACCCCAUAAAGCUGUGCUACUCCAUAAGGCCACAACUCUGUGAUUCUGCAGGACCCCACGUGACUCACAACCCCGUGUCCUGACCCCAUGUGGCCACAGAACCAGCUGUGCGUGGGGAAAAGGCAUCCCCUCCUAGGGGUGGUGUUGCCCCAGAGCUGCCCCAAAGAGCUGUGGGGUGGGCUGCAGGCACACGUCUCCUUUUGGAGAGCUGGGAAGUGGCCGAAGGGGCCAGAAAGUAAAGAAAUACCUUGGCAAGGUUCUGUUGUCGGUAGCUUUAGUUUUUGUAAGUGGACGAGAAGAGAACAAACUGUCGUAAAGCAAUCUGCUCACACCCAAACUGUGAGACCAAGCGUGGAUGAGGUCCAGCUCUUGGAAGGCACUUUUACAGUUCCAGCUGUAAAUCCUGGAGGACUUGGUGAGCUAGAUGCACAAUGCAGGAGGCAAUACUUCUCAGCAUAGCAGGAACAGUUUGCGGUUGGCGCCAUCGGGAACGGCCACGGCAACCUGCAGGUGCACCACGUUCUGUCAGCACAGGGACGGAUCCCACUGAGGCUGGGGAAGGGGCUGCAGCUUGGCUGCUGCGCUGCUGCGUGGCUCCCUGGGGAUGGCAGCAAGUCCCAAAGCAACGGGUCUUGCAGAUGUGAGGGUAACCCCUGUGACCUGGAGGAACACACAGCCAGACGUGACCCAAAAAGCAGAAUGCAAUUAAAGGUAAAUCUGGAACCAGCAGUGGUCAAGUGAUCCAGGUGUUCCUGUGCUGCUCAGUCCUGACCCUGACUCCUUUGAUGGGUCCAGCUCCUCUGCUGCGAGCAGUGAGAAGAUCACCAGACUCUCUGAGCCGGGUGGUGAGCCGAGAAGAAGAUCUGGGC